AUUGAACGCUAGCGGCAGGCUUAACACAUGCAAGUCGAACGAGUGGCGGACGGGUGAGUAAUGCUUGGGCAUCUAGCUUAUGGAGGGGUAUAACUACGGGAAACUGUAGCUACUACCGCGUACCAUAGGCUGAGCCCAAGUGGGAUUAGGGAGUUGGUGAGGUAAAGGCUCACCAAGCCGACGAUCUCUAGCUGGUCGGAGAGGAUGACCAGCCACACUGGGAUGGAGACACGGCCCAGACUCCUACGGGAGGCAGCAGUGGGGAAUAUUGCGCAAUGGGGGCAACCUGACGCAGCCAUGCCGCGUGAAUGAAGAAGGCCUUCGGGUUGUAAAGUUCUUUCGGUAGCGAGGCGGUAACUACAGAAGAAGCACCGGCUAACUCCGUGCCAGCAGCCGCGGUAAUUC
rnacentral:rRNA from 1 species